AUACCUUUCUCGGCCUUUUGGCUAAGAUCAAGUGUAAUAUCUGUUCUCAUCAGUUUAAUAUCUGAUAUGUGGACCAUUGGUUCACACGAUAUUAAAUUUAUUUUUUGAGAGAGAGAUGGUCAAUUGCAGUAGCUUGCUACGUAGGCCUUCAAGCAUCGCACUUGCUUUGCACUAGUGCAAUGGCCUGGAGCAACUCAU